rnacentral:rRNA from 1 species
UACGUAGGGGCAAGCGUUAUCCGGAUUUACUGGGUGUAAAGGGAGCGCAGGCGGCCUGGCAAGCCUGAUGUGAAAUACCGGGGCCCAACCCCGGGGCUGCAUUGGGAACUGCCAGGCUGGAGUGCCGGAGAGGCAGGCGGAAUUCCUAGUGUAGCGGUGAAAUGCGUAGAUAUUAGGAGGAACACCAGUGGCGAAGGCGGCCUGCUGGACGGUGACUGACGCUGAGGCUCGAAAGCGUGGGGAGCAAACAGG